rnacentral:lncRNA from 7 species
GAACCGGUUUGGUGGGAUGUAGAGGACCGUGGCAUGGUGGCAUUUGGGGUAUGAUGGGACAUUGGGGACCAGGGCAUGGUGGCAUCUGGUGGCAUAUAAGGCAUGGUGGGACAUGGAGGACCAUGGCAUGGUGGCAUUUGGGGUAUGGUGGGACAUGGAGGACCAUGGCAUGGUGGCAUUUGGGGUAUGGUGGGACAUGGAGGACCAUGAUAUGUUGGCUCCUGGUGGCAUUUGGGGUAUGGUGGGGCAUGGAAAGCCAUGGCAUGGUGGCAUUUGGGGUAUGGUGGGACAUGGAGAGCCAUGGGAUGGUGGCAUUUGGGGUAUGGUGGGACAUGGAGGACCAUGGCAUGGUGGCACAUGGUGGCAUCUGGGGUAUGGUGGGACAUGGAGGACCAUGGUAUGGUGGCACUUGGUGGCACAUAGGGUAUGGUGGGGCAUGGAGGACCAUGGGAUGGUGGCACCUGGUGGCAUAUAAGGCAUGGUGGGACAUGGAGAGCCAUGGGAUGGUGGCAUUUGGGGUAUGGUGGGACAUGGAGGACCAUGAUAUGGUGGCAUUUGGGGUAUGGUGGGGCAUGGAGAGCCAUGGUAUGGUGGCAUUUGGGGUAUGGUGGGGCAUGGAGGACCAUGGUAUGGUGGCACCUGGUGGCAUAUAAGGCAUGGUGGGACAUGGAGGACCAUGGCAUGGUGGCAUUUGGGGUAUGGUGGGACAUUGAGGACCAUGGCAUGGUGGCAUUUGGGGCAUGGUGGGGCAUGGAGAGCCAUGGGAUGGUGGCACCUGGUGGCACAUAGGGUAUGGUGGGACAUGGAGGACCAUGGGAUGGUGGCAUCUGGUGGCGUAUAAGGCAGGGUGGGACAUGGAGAGCCAUGGCAUGGUGGCAUCUGGUGGCAUUUAGGGUAUGGUGGGACAUGGAAAGCCAUGGCAUGGUGGCAUUUGGGGUAUGGUGGGACAUGGAGGACCAUGGGAUGGUGGCACCUGGUGGUACCUGGAGUAUGGUCCCAUCCCCACGAUCCCAUUGCCCAGAUCCUAUCCCUCAGAUCCCAUCCCCCGGUUCCCAUCCCAAAUCCCAUCCCCAUUAUCCCACCAUGAUCCCAUCCCCACAAUCCCACCCCCAUGAUCCCACCCCCAUGAUCCCACCCCCCGAUCCAUCCUCGAUCCCAUACCAUGUCCACACCUGACCCCCACACUCCACGCCCAACCACCCAUCCAU